CAGACCAUCUCUUACCCACUCACCCUCUCCUCUUGCACCAACUUCCAGCAAUUUGACUGCAUGUUUUUUUUAGGAACUAACUUCCACCCAAAGACUACUGAAUUUUUCUUACAUGCUGGGUUCUGUCAGAGCUGAUAAGGCAGCAGCCAGCCUGCAAAGAUAACACAAGGGCUCCCCUCACUGCCUCCUCUCUCAUGCUGUCUUCUGCCUGUGAGGAGCAUCAGGACAGUCCGGAGGAACCCACGGGCUUGGCUCCCUCCCCGUGCUCCUGCUCAGAGUCCUAGCAGAGGGACUGUAGCUGGAUCCAGGAGGAGGAGUUGUGGGUGGUGGAUCAGGAGCUGGAAGCAAAACCUUCCUCUCUGGGCUACUGCUGGCCAAGCGGAGACAUUCCUUGUCUGUUAUUCAUGGGCAGAAAUGCUUGAUUAGGGCUCCUCUUCCUGGAAACAUCAGUGAAGCUGAUGCCCUGGAUCCUCUUCCACAGAUAAGAUUAAGAGCAUGGAAAUAGGCACGCUUCUGGCAGUGGUUUUUACUGGCUCUGGGUGGUAAUUGCAGAGAGGGUAUUUUGGACGAUGAGAAAUUUGCUGUAUCAUUUGUCAAGCACCGUUCGCUGGUGGGUUCUGGGGGCAGAGAACUCACCUAAUUGACAUGGAUUUUUCUUUUUUCCACGUUGUUUCUUUGGCUGGCAGUGGCUGUGAGGGUUGCUGCUGAGAAGGGAAUGAGUCACUCAUUUGUUUGAAGCGGUGGAGAAAGGUUCUCCGUGUUCCCAUUGAUAUUAAACACGAAGCUGUG